rnacentral:lncRNA from 1 species
GUAUCUAAGCUGCCAAGAUGCCAGGGCCAAGACCUCGGAAGGGCCCUCAGGCCAGUGGCCAGGGUGUAGCAGCUGCCAAGCAGCUGGGGCUCUUUGUGGAGUUCAGCACUGAGGAUAUGAUGCUUGGGAUGGAUGAGACCGAAGAUGACGGAGACCUGGAGGCCGAGUUGUUGGCCCUCACUGGGGAAGCAGGGACCACAAAAGAGAAGCCAGCACCCAAGGGGCAGGCCCCUCUCCCCAUGGCCCACAUUGAGAAGUUGGCUGCAGACUGUAUGCGGGAUGUGGAGGAAGAGGAGGAGGAGGAAGGUCUGGAGGAGGAUGCAGACCUGCUGAAUGAGCUGCAGGAAGUACUGGGUACGGAUGAGGAGGCUGGGCCCCUGGACAGUGAUGAGGCAGCUAGUCCAGACCUCUGUGAGGAGGAGAAGGGACAGGAAGACACUGAAGCUCCAGUGCCGGCAGCCCUCCUAACACCUUCAGUCCCAGAGGCUCAGACAAUGCCUCCCACUCUGAGUCCAGCCUCUUGGGCAGUCCUGGCAUUGCUACCCUUCCGGAUGCAGACCCAGACCCCCGGGCCCUGCUAUUGGCACGACAGAGAGAGUACAAAGUGGCUGCCCUCAACGCCAAGCGGGCUGGAGAGCUGGACCGUGCCCGAGAGCUCAUGA